rnacentral:rRNA from 1 species
UAGGGAAUCUUCCGCAAUGGACGCAAGUCUGACGGAGCAACGCCGCGUGAGUGAAGAGGGAUUUCGGUUCGUAAAACUCUGUUGUUAGAGAAGAACAGCGCAUAGAGUAACUGUUAUGCGUGUGACGGUAUCUAACCAGAAAGCCACGGCUAACUACGUGCCAGCAGCCGCGGUAAUACGUAGGUGGCAAGCGUUGUCCGGAUUUAUUGGGCGUAAAGCGAGCGCAGGCGGUCAAUUAAGUCUGAUGUGAAAGCCCCCGGCUCAACCGGGGAGGGUCAUUGGAAACUGGUUGACUUGAGGGCAGAAGAGGAGAGUGGAAUUCCAUGUGUAGCGGUGAAAUGCGUAGAUAUAUGGAGGAACACCAGUGGCGAAGGCGACUCUCUGGUCUGUAACUGACGCUGAGGUUCGAAAGCGUGGGUAGCAAACAGG